CUCAGGAUGAACGCUAGCGGCAGGCCUAAUACAUGCAAGUCGAGCGGCAAGUCGAGGAGUAAUCUAAGACCUAGAGCGGCGGACGGGUGCGUAACGCGUAUGCAACCUACCUCAUACAGGGGGAUAGCCCGGAGAAAUCUGGAUUAAUACCCCAUGGUACUGUGACAAGGCAUUUUGUUAUAGUUAAAGAUUCAUCGGUAUGAGAUGGGCAUGCGUCUGAUUAGCUAGUUGGCGGUGUAACGGACCACCAAGGCGACGAUCAGUAGGGGUUCUGAGAGGAAGGUCCCCCACACUGGCACUGAGAUACGGGCCAGACUCCUACGGGAGGCAGCAGUAGGGAAUAUUGGGCAAUGGACGAGAGUCUGACCCAGCCAUGCCGCGUGCAGGAAGACGGCGUUCUGCGUUGUAAACUGCUUUUAUCUGGGAAGAAAAGGCCCAUGCGUGGGACAUUGCCGGUACCAGAUGAAUAAGCACCGGCUAACUCCGUGCCAGCAGCCGCGGUAAUACGGAGGGUGCAAGCGUUGUCCGGAUUUAUUGGGUUUAAAGGGUGCGUAGGCGGCUGAUUAAGUCAGUGGUGAAAGACAUCGGCUCAACCGAUGCAGUGCCAUUGAUACUGGUGAGCUUGAGUGUUGGAGGGGUACAUGGAAUUGAUGGUGUAGCGGUGAAAUGCAUAGAUACCAUCAGGAACACCGAUAGCGAAGGCAUUGUACUUGCCAACAACUGACGCUGAGGCACGAAAGCAUGGGGAGCGAACAGGAUUAGAUACCCUGGUAGUCCAUGCCGUAAACGAUGAUUACUCGCUGUUAUGCUGUAGAGUGUAGCGGCCAAGCGAAAGCGUUAAGUAAUCCACCUGGGGAGUACGCCGGCAA
rnacentral:rRNA from 1 species